UGCUGCUGCUGCUGCCCCAAAGAAGGCGGCGGCCAAGGAGGUAGAGGAGGACGAUGAGGAGGAAUCCGACAAGUCCAAGUCGGAGAUCAAUGAUGACGAUGACGAUGAGGGUAGCGACGAGGUAUACACCACACAACAUCCUGUGUACCGUCUCUUCAAUUAGUUUAUGGAACUCGCUAUGCAUGCUAACUGCUUCAGAAGAAUGCUGCAUUAUUCCUUAGCUGUUGAUUCUAAGUGUAGAUUGAUUGUAUCGAGUUGAGGGCUUGAGGCUGUAGUUGAUUAGAUCAACCAUCUGUUAAGUAAGAUCUGUUGUAGACGUGUAUCCUAUGUUCUGAACAUGAAGUUGCCAUUGCAGGACGAGGACGAUGACGAGUGAAGCGGACAAUGCGGGAGCUGCUGUGCGAGAAGCGACCUGAGCUGUGUGCGGUGGUGUCAUAAGGAGCCUAUCCAUCUCCACUAGAAUUAUCCCAAGUUUCACUUCACAUCGUGAUGUUGUUUUACCUUUUUUCUUGUCAUUGUCCUGCUAUAACGGAUAGCGCUCCCUGUUGGCGCCGCUGCCGGCGGGGUGCCCUUGUGUUGGAGGGUGUAUGCUCCCAGCGCCGGGGUGCCCCUGCUUGUACCUAGAUGGUUACUCUUUCCGUCCACCAUUGUCACCGGCUAACAUUGUGAUAAUAUCAGUCUGGGUAAUGUUAGAUUAAGCUGUUGUCGCCCCAUGCCAUGCAUUUGCGUGUAUGAUUUGUUCCUUGUUAUGCUUGCUUUGUUGGUUCUGUGAUUGCUGCUUUGUUUCAUGAGCUGCGUUUACAAAUGUUGGUGGCAUAGCUGCUGCGCUGUGCUUGGUACCUGGACAGCUCGUUGGUUAGAUUUGUUGCUGUGUAUUCCCUGUGCUGGAGUGCCAUGCUGCAGUCCGAGUGGUAUUACACAAUGUAUGUUGGAGUGACUGCUGCUAGUACACAUAAUCAUUACAGUAGUUUUGUCUUCCCAUGUUGGCUGGUACUAGUUGUAGUACCAAUUAUAGCGAAAUCUUUCCUCUCUGAUUGACGGUGGUACUACAUGUUUCUCCCCUUGUUUGAUUGACUAUUGAGCUCGGACCACAGGUUGUUUCAAUCAACUCGAAAGAACGUGCUUCCGUCGUGAUCCUGUAUCCCAAGGCCAAACUCUGAAGACGUUGGAGUGGGAUUAGCAUGCGCUCAUCACAGGAGAUUGCUGCUUGCUUGCAUUGUUGUUGAGUACUACUGCUACUAUCUGCAUUUCUAUCGCUGUCGCCUCUUUGCAUCUCUUCCCUUUUGUGGCCAAUCAUUGGCAGUGAUACCAGACCACCGGAAGGAAUCGGACCAUAUUUUCUCUCAACUUGCAAAGAUUCGGCGCCGCGAUUUCUCCAGCGCUGGCCGACGUCGUUGCCGUGUUGCGUGGUACGUACGAUCGUCAACCGUGCGUCGCCUCCCCAAAGGGCAGAUGCCAUCAUGGCGCCAAGCUCUCGCGUUGAAAACAAUGGCGGUGGAAUGCCGCUCGCUCGUCAGUGAAGGAAGAUAUUUGUAUAGUUUGGAAAUUAAUGAACGGAGGAGGAGCGGGGGGGCUGUAGGAGCCGUUGCCGCUGCCUGUAUGUCUGCUGCUGCUGCUGCUGGAGGCAGGCAUCCAUGAAUGCGACGCAGACGUACGCUCGGCCUCUGAAUCUGGGCCCGGGCCGACAUGUCGGCCCGGCCGCAUUUACGAGCCGGCGCAGCACGCCUGCCCGCGGGAAGUACGUACGUACUCCUACCAAGGCUUUGCAUUUUGAUUUUUAUUGCCGGUGACUGCUACUUUGGGGCCGUGGAUGGAUCUGUCCCCUGGUUUCGAAUUCGAAACCGCUCCGGAUGUGUCUGUCAGUGGUUAACCGUUCCGGUGGGCGGGAAGACUGGUGGUGGAAGGGUUAAUCGGGCUGAUUAAAUUAAGGAUGUGUCAGAGGGGUGAAGAGAACAGCGAGCCUCGGUAGCAUAGUGGUAGUGCGUUCCCUUCGUAAGGGAAAGGUCGUGAGUUCGAUCCUCACCGGGGGCUGUCAUUUUUGUUUUCUAGAUAUGGUAUGGUUAUUAUAGGCGCGCGUCAUCGGCGGUAUCUGCAUUUGGGACUCUGAUCUUUCCCACCACUUGGCCGAUUGUUUUUGACUGAGUGGUGGCCACUUAGAACAAUGCCAUAUGCCGAUUGUUCUCCGUCCACUGCUGCCACUUCUAACGAGAUGGUGAGCUAUGGUUCUCCGUGUCCACUGCUGCCACUUCUCACGAGACGUCAGUGAGGCUGGUUCAGAGCUGGAGCUCAAUAUUGCAAGGAUAACUCAAUUCUAACAUGGAGGCAUCGUCAUGGGGUCGUGCCUCUGUCACUUCGACUUUGGGCGUCAAGAGGCCCACUUCCUUCCAUGGAGGAUUGUCAUGGGAUCAUGCCUCUACCACUCAGGCUUCGGGCUUGAAGAGCACCACUUCUUUCCAUGUAGGCAUUCUCAUUGGGUCGUGCCUCUACCACUCGGGUUUCGGGCGUGAAGGGCGCCAAUUUCCUUCCAUGGAGGUUUUGUCAUUGUGUCGUGCCACUAGCACUAGGGCUUCGGGCAUGAAAAGCCAUGGCAUGGGUUGCUGAAGUGGGUGUUUUCGGUGCCUUUACAUCGUUCCCUCCUCGGAGGCUUAUGCUCGGACCCCUGGGUGUGUAUCAGCUGGCCAUCGUGUGGUUGGUUCGUGGACCACAACAAUAUCACUCUCUUUGUGAUUUACGUUUGUGGCAGAUGUAUGCCUUGGUCCAGUUAUGGUGUCCAUUCGACCUCUCAAGUGAGCUUCUUUGUAUCCUAAGUGUCGGCGCCCUUCAAGCCAGGGCGAGAGGAUCGAGAUUUGUCCUCGGCGAUAGAUGGUGCUACAUCGUCACUCCUUGAAGUAGGUGAGUACUUCUUUUGAUAUAGUUGGCUGACGUCCACUCUUUGGUACUACAUCCGCUUCACCCUGGGUCAACGAAUUACGAUGCAUGUGAUUGUCUUUUUUUUGUUGUUUUCCUGUUUUAUUCUUGCUGUUUCCCUCAAACACCUCGUGCUCUAUUCGCUACUUUCUGUUUUUUUACUAAUAUAAUUUAGAGUCGGGAUAAUGGUUUUUUCUUAGCUUUUGUUGAUUUGCGCCGGUAACCAUAAGUACGUAAAGGAUACACUAGUAUCUUUGUUUUGCACUAAUCAAAUUUUCCUUUGCUGCGCAGAUUUUUCAUGGCAAAAAUAGUAAUUAAUACGGUUUUGCUAAAUGUAGCGUGUCUUCAAUUUUUUCUUAGCUGAUUUUCGAGACGUGAAUGUAUUCACGACAAGCAAGCAAUGAAGCUUUAAUAGAUCAGAAGAUUCUUUCGCAAGAAAGAGUAAAUAAUAUGGCUUGUUGUUGCGGAUCAACCUGUGGUUGAGUUGGUUAGGUGGACAGUGGUAUCCCCAACCCAUCAAAGUUCAAAUCCUGGUGCUUGCAUUAUUGUUGAGUGUAUAGGGGUAGGGUGUGCGUUCAUAGGGGUGAAUGUAUGCACGUGUAUACGAGCGCUUGUGUCUGUACUGAUGCUAAAAAAAAAAUGGCUUGUUGUUUCGCCAAUAAAAUAAAAAGAGAGAAAAUUUUCUUAUGCCCAAGUCGUAGGCUGAGCCAUCUGGCAUCCAAGCAUUGAGAUUCGUGCAAAGGCUGCGGGGUCAAGAUUCGAUCGAAUGGCUUUGACUCGGGCAUAUGAAAUCCAAGCCGAUGCUGGUGAGUUACAACUUACAGAUGAACAAAUGAAAUGCAAAGCGAUGGACGUGCUAGGAUCAAACUGUCGACGUGAAAUAAGCUUCUCGUAGUUUUUGUUGCCGCCCACCCAACUAAUCCAAAUGUUUGGUCGUGCGCGGGACGACUCCCCCCUCCCAGAAUUCCAUUUGGUGCCAUUGCUGACACAGCCGGCGAUCGAGCUGAACCAGAAACCCCAAUCCUCCUCCUCCAUCAACAGCCAGCACGGCCGCCACGCCCCAAGAAUCCGAUCGAUCGAUGCUCGGCCAGCCGAGCGUCAUCGCCCGCCUCAUGGGCAUGGAGGACCACCACCACCACCACCACACGACGUUGCCGGCGACGGCGAUCGUCCACGCCCCGGAGCGAACCACGACGAUCAGCCUGCUGAGAGCGUCGUCGUCCCAGGGCGAGCAGCCCAAGUGCGGCCCGCUCGGCGCCCACCACGGCCGCCGCAUCGGCGGGGAGUACUACCGGUACUGCCUCAACAAGAUGAAGCCGCGGCGGAGGCGAGCCCGGCGCGAUCGCCGCCGCCGCGAGCAUCCGCAGGAGGAGCUGCUGGAGAAGAUCAAGGAGGACUUCCGCGCGUCCUGGCAGCUGGCCUCCACGGCCACGCCGCCAAUGGGGACGGAGGAGGAGGAGGGGGUAGUGACGUCGGGGAGGAGGAGCGGUGGUCGGGUGGCCGGGCUGUUGGACGGCCGGUGCAUCCAGAGGAUCGCGCAGGAGAACCUGCGCCGGGAGAAGAUGGCCAGGUACGGCUAUGGCGGCCGUCAGAGCACCGUGGAGGUGGAGGAAGACGAAGGUAUCAAGGCGCUGGUGGUUGGCCUGAAGAAGAAUGAUGAAGAGGCAGAGCAGCGCCAUGGUGGUUCAGAAGUUGCAGCGUCUGAAGAAUUCUCGGCUGAACAUGAUGAGAUGAGCAACACGUCGGAGAAGCUGCGCGGCAUGCCGGCGACACGGAUAGCGAUCCUCAGGCCGGCCACUGGUGCUACUCUCGGUGCCGCCGGGGAUCAUCGGAACGCCGUUCCGACGCCGUCAUGGAAGGCGGUGCGGGACGGGGGCAUGGACAUGGAGGACUUCCUCCGGGAGGUGAAGGAGAGGGCCGAGAGGCUCAAGGCCGCAACGAAGGCCAAGACCGACGGCCCAGGCGACGUCGUCGCGAAGGCGAGGCGAGGCUGGGGAAGCGUCGGCGACGGCCCGGAGCGAACGGCACAGGACACGGCGAGGCAGAUCAGGGAGGCCGUCGGCAAGAGGCUGAGCCGGCUGGAGUCCUUCCGCGUCUUCCGAGGCGACCGCGGCCGGCGCGACGGCUCGCCGUCCCCGGAGCACCGGAUGCUGAGGAGCGUCAUGGCGAGGACCGAGGCCAUGUCGCCGACGAAGGUCACGGGCAGAGGACCGAGGGGCAGCAGGUGGUCACCGUUGCGGGCAGGCGCUGGCGUAAACGGCCGGCAGAGCCCUGACCGCGACCCGCGUCGGAGUCCGGCGAAGCUGCACGACGACGGCGUUGACUUUAUUGCUGCGUCGCCGCGGGCGCUGCUCCGGUCGUUCUCUGCCCCGGCGGCGGGGUGUUCUUCGGACGCGUCGUCUGAAGGCGAGCAGAAGAUGGUGGGCCGGAGCAGAAGCUUCAGCAUUUUCAGAGGGACGGUGGCGAGUAUGAGGCAGAGCCUCUGCCUCUGCCUGGGCGGAGGAGCAGGGAAGCUGCUGCUGAUGCAUCUGUCCAGGAAGAAGCCUUCCUCUCCGGCGCCUCCUAGCCCGGUGUCGCCGUUGGAGGUCCACGGCGGGCGACAUUUCUCCGGCGAUCUCAACUGCACGUUCCUCCCAGGUACCGUACCACAAAAUGUUUUGCUGCGUUCCAUAUGAUCUCUUUGCUGCAGCAAUGCGUUUUGCUGAUUCUUCUUUUGCAGAGUCGAGCCCGAGGUGGAGUCCCAGGUGUUCGUCGGAAUUCGAGGCGUCCGUGGGCGGCGAGUCGCCGUGGGAAUGGAAGGCCGACGCCGCGGCCGAGAGCGAGGACCCUGACACGGCGUACGUCAGGGAAGUGCUCGUCGCCGCGGGGCUGUUCGACGACGACGACGACGCGGCGGUUGCGAGGACGGACUCGAUCGCCAUCUCCGACGACGUCUUCGAGGAGGUCGAGGACGGGUACUACUACCGCCGCCUCCGGCGCCGCGACGACGGCGCAGGAGAGGAGGAGGAACUCGGAGCGGCGGACCGCCGCAGGCUGCUCUUCGACCUGGCCAACGAGGCGCUGCAGGCGGGCGCGAGGAGUGCCGUCUCUUCCUCGUCGCCGUCGUGUCUGCGCCGGUGGGUCGUCGAGUGCAACAACGGCUCGCCGCCGUCGUCGCGGGUGCGAGGGAGGGAGCUGGAAGACGAGGUGUGGCGGCACGUGGCGCGGGCGACGGGGGACGGCACGGCGGAGCGCGAGGUCGGGAGGUCGCCGUGGGUGCCGGAGGCGCUGUGCGGGGACGCCUGCGCCGUCGGGAGGAAGAUCGAGCGCGCCAUCUUCGACGAGCUGGUCGGCGACGUCGUGCGUCAGCUGUUUGUCUGACUGCACUUAUUUUUUCCAACAGUUUUUUUUGGAGAAAAUUUUCGAACAGGUUUUGCAGGAAAAAAAGGCUUGUAAGUGGGCUGGAGCCUGCAUGAGUUGCAAGCAGAGCCCAACAAUGUUCUCCACAAGAGGCCCAAUUGUACAGUCCAAGUGCCAGUAAGCAUAUGCAUUCCACUUUAUCUAAAAAAAUGCAUUCCACUAUUCCCUUAAUUAAAAAAAAACACAUUCCACUUAAAAGGAAUUGGUGUACGGUAUUCUUUCUGGCAUUUUUAUAUGCUUUCCCGAUACUUUUUGUUGUAUCAAUUUUUAUUUUCAUCUUUAAUUUUAUUUUCUUCCUCUUACUUAUGUCUAUUUUCAUUUUUAUUUGAAAAUUACCAGAUCAUUUAUUAAAAAAACAUGACGACUUUUGAAAUUUAUAUGAACAUUCUUUAAAAUGCAUAAAACAUUUUGAAUUACAUGAAUCUUUCCACUCAAAUACGUGAUGGACAAUUAUUUCGUACAUGAUCCAAUUUUGAUACUGCAUGACUUUUUUAAUUACAAUAUCAACAAUUUUUAGAAUGAACAAUUUUUUCAAUACACGUGAACAUGUUUUUUGAUAUGCAAUGACCAUUUUUUCAAAGACAGGAUGAUGCUUUUGAAAAUAACGAUGCAUAUAGUUUUGUAGGAUAAAAACAUAUUUUAAUACGUUAAGAAAUUUUUUGUUAUGUAAUUUUUUUUAUACACGACGAACAUAUUUGUCUUGUACGGUGAUUUUUUUAGAAAACACAAAGAACAAUUUACAAUAUGAGAGUAUUCUUAGAAAAACAUAUUUAAUACAUGAUUAACCUUUUCAAAAUAUAUGAUGAACAAUCUUUAACAUGAAUGGACCUUUUUUAAUAUGUGACGUACAAUUUUUUCAUACACAACGAAUAUUUUUUUUAAUAAACAAUGAUACUUUUUUUGGAAACACAAAGAAAACAGUUUAAUACUUGAUUAAUAAAUAUACAAUCUGGGCUGAACAUCGUUUCAUACAGAAUGAACCUUUUUGUUAAAAUGUCGAUGCAUAAGAAAUAUUCAUAUAAUUUAAAAUAUUAACACAUUAUCAACGAACUACUCAGGUAUUUUUAAUAUAUAUACAUAUGUAAGUGAGUGUUCAUUGAACAACGUGCGUAUAUAUACAUAUGCACGUGGCGCGAGCGACAGUGGAUGGCACGGCUGAGCGCGAGGUCGGGAGGCCACCGUGGGUGCCAGAGGCGCUGUGCGGGGACGCCUGCGUCGUCGGGAGGAAGAUCAAGCGCGCCAUCUUCGACGAGCUGGUCGACGACGUCGUGCGUCAGCUCUUUGUCUGACGGCACCUUUUUUUUCCAAGGGUUGUCUGACUGCACCUGAUCGAGCAGGUUUUGUAGAAAAAAAAGAGAGGUCGUAAGUAGGCUGCAGCCUGCAUAAGUUGCUACCAGAGCCCAACAAUGUCCUAGCCACAGGGAAGCCCAAUGCUCCAGUGAGCAAAUCAUGAUGUAGUACAUUGUUAAUUAGAUUUUUUUUUUAUGUAGGAGUACAUUGUUCUUUUUGUUGAGAAGAAUAGGAGUACAUUGUUAGAAGCUGAUAAUUUGAACUCAUGUUAUUACCAAGCAUAUAUUUUCAUUCAUAUCAAUUCUACUUUUGAGACUUUAUUUUUGUGUUGUGUCUCUGAAACGAUUAUUAUCUUUCUCGCCCGCCUAAAUCCUGACUCCGCCCCUGCCUGGGCUUCCCCUAAUCCUUUUGGAUCGUAAUCCUAGGUUUCCACAUAGAUUUAAGAGGUCUGCCGAUAGAAAAUAAUCCUGGGCUUCCCCAUACAUUUGAGAGGUCUGCCGACCAGCCCAGAAUUUAGGGUCGGUUUAAGGCGUCCGUUAGGAUCGGCUUUUUUCGACCGGUCACUGACCCGGCUAGCAUACGGAGGGAGUUUGGUGUGCGGCGGUACAUGCUCUAAUUUUUUUUUUUUAGCUCUGGACCCCCAAAAAGCACACAGGGCCUCGAUUUGAUGAUGGGUUAAAAAGUUUGGACGGGUGAACUAGGAUUACGAGUGGGCCUCCACCCCAUGGUCCAGGGCAGAAUACCCAAAUUAGUCGGCACGACUGGCGGGCCUCCUCUUCCCAGAUGGAUGUAAGCCACACCAGCCGCCACCAAGCGGAUAUUACCAAGGAUAAACCCACGAUACACCCGGAGGAUGCUUUGAAGGCGGAUGUUAGCCCCACUAAUUAAGGAAUAUCAUGAGCUUGAAGGCAAUGAGUGCGUAAUUGAGUGUACAAGCUUCAAUCAUCACUUUACAUGGUAUACUUAUUGUAUACUAGUCCGCUAAGUUCCUUUAUGUUAUUUCAGUACUCUCCAUCCGCACCUGAGUACCUGACUGAAAAAUCUGAAUUGGUUCUAGAUGCUAUUUUUAUUAACCUUGUCAUUCUGGGACUGCUGGAUUUGAUCAUCUUUUCACAACAAUGCCUUGCAAAUGGAUAAUCUGAUUAUACACCCUUGGUAAUAUCAUUUGCAUGUUACAUAGUUAAGACUUGAGAGAGCAGAGCACUUCCUGUUAAGCAUUUACUGGAUCUUGAUUAUAAAACCGCAUGUUGUGAAUGAUAGACGUCCUGAUUGUUUACGUGUACAUGCAAGCCUUUCUUCCACUCUACUACCUCCGUCCAGAAAUGCUCUUAUAUUAUGGGAACGGAAGGAGUACAUGUUAAUUUGUUGAUAAAGCAGGCUGCCCCAUGAAAUGUUUGCUGGACAAUGUUUGACUUGUACUAGCAUAUCUGGGAUCUUGCAGAUACACAUUAGCACUCAUAGCGGUGAAUUUGUAAGCUAGCAAGACACCUGAAAAUAUAUAACCAAUUGCAAAUUUAAUUAGAGCGUAGGCCUUGGAGUUCCCAGUCAACGGGACCAUUUAUCUGAAAAUCAUUCAAGUUAUCUAAAUUCUAAAUAUAUUGCCAAGGUAUCAGUUCUACGUGCAGAGUAAGGCUUUUCCUUGUUGCAUAGAUAUCAAACAAUAUAUGCAUGACAAUGAGUGGCAAACUAAUCAGUAAUCACCAGAUAUUUACAUGACAACAAUACAUCUCACUGCGGGUUCUCACAGCUCUGUAUGAUGUGUUCUCGUAACAAACUUCUGGGUUUGAGUUGGAUCAAGGUGUUGUGGUGCUCUUUAAGACGUACUAGUUGGAGGACUAAACGACUGAGAGCAGUGCAUGAACUUAUGAAAUGUAAAUUUGUAUUGCCUGUGUCAGUGAAUCUAUGCUGAAUUUUAUGUUCGAUGACUGUCCUAGGAAUGGUCAACAUGGGACUACAGAAGAUCAGGUAGACCAACCGGCAUUGUUACCCUGUCCUAUGGGUACACCCGAGGGUGCUUUGAAGGAGAAUGUUAGCUCCACUAAGGAGUCUGAUUAGCUUGAAGACAACCAGUACGUAAUUUACCAGUUCUUAGUACGGAACUUGACACAUAAGGUGGAAAGGACAGAUCAACAGGCAAACAUGACGAGCCAGAAACGAACAAACCAAAACCAAGCUUACAAUGCCAAACAUAACCACCAUAAAGCCAAUUAAGUGUACAUGGCCUGGAUGUUUCAGCAUAAGGUCUUGCGCUGUAUACUGCCAACCCUGUUAGUUGCUACUCAUUUUUGUGUUAUUCUAACAUAGCUAUCCCUUAUCCUAUGGAUCGCAGCAGCUGCAUCUCCUAUGCACAUUCUCUCGGUGGGUGCAUGCUUGCUGCAUGACAGGGCAACCUCUAUGACAGAGGAUAUGGCAUUGCUGGUAUGUUCCAUUGGGUUGCUUCCAUCCAGCAAACUACUCGCACUAGCUUCUUCAAUGGACAGUAGGACUGGAUCGACGAUCUGCAUCAGCAUCCCUGGAAAUGCAUCCUUGGCAUGUUUUUGCAGGGUCAACCCGUCUCUGAACAUGUCAUGAGUAGGUGCCUUGCCUAUAAACAACUCGAGGACGACACUCCCAAAGCUGUAUACGUCCCCACGUGAAGAAACUUGACCACCUUCGCCAUAUUCUACAUUCGCAUACACAAAAAGGUGUGAUUUUGCAUACCUGCUAAAUUUAUGCUGUGGACUGUUUGAUUUAAUGUUAGAGAAAAUUAAAGCUACCUGGAGCGACGUAACCAAUUGUUCCUCUUAUUCCAGUCGAGCUCUUUGAGUUAAUCAGUUGCUCGGCUGCUGGUUCGGAAAUAAUCUUUGCAAGGCCAAAGUCUCCAACAUGAGCAACUAAAUCCUCGUUGAGAAGAAUGUUGCUUGGCUUCAGGUCGCAGUGAACUAUUGGCGGUUCACAGUUGUUGUGCAAAUAAUCUAGUGCAUCAGCAAUACCGACUGCAAUAUUUAAUCUCUGAAUCAAUGUCAAUCCUUGCAGUUGCUGUGAUGCAUCAUGUACAUCCGGAUGUAACCAGCUGUCCAGGUUCCCAUUGGGCAUGAACUCGAACAUAAGAGCUUUGAAGUCGUUUUGGCUUGAGUCAGAGCUUGAGCAGCAAGUUAUGACACUGAUCAAAUAACGAUGGCGAACCUUACUAAGUGCCUCACACUCAGCUAAAAAGCUUUUGGAACAACCAGUCUGUUGGAGAUCAAAAACCUUCACCGCUACUGUGGUCAUCAUAUUGUUCAGCAAUAAACGACACUUAUACACUGAUCCAUGCAUUCCUCUACCAAUCAAAUUGGCUGUGGCAAAGCCACCUGUUCCCUGGGCCAGUUCAACACAAGUAACUCUUGGAUAAUUGUCACCCAUCAAUUGGAAUCCACUUGUGGAUGUGGAUUGAGCUUUUGUUUCCUUUCUCCUUGUGAAGAACACAAGCAUCGCACUCAAGCAUAGAAUUGCGCCAACAAUUGGGAUAGCUAUUGCGAUAAUGAAAUGGCGUUUCUUCUUGUGUUCCAUUGAUUCUGGCGGCGGGCAUGGGGGCAACUGUAAUUCUGAGUUACCACCACAAAGCCUCGAAUUCCCUUCAAACAAAAAUCCAGUCACAUUACUGAACACACCCUGCGAUGGAACUUUGCCAUCCAGAGUAUUGAAGGACAGGUCUAACUGAUACAAUGAUGCCAUGUUUUGCAAGCUUUCAGGGAUAUGACCAGACAAGUAGUUGUGUGCAAGAUACAAUUCUUGAAUACCGUCCAUGAGUCCUAACUCUUGAGGAACCACACCAGAGAGUGUAUUCUUGGAAAGAUUUAGAAAUGUCAAGCCCUGCAUUUUGCUGAUAGACGAGGGAAUGGUACUAUUGAAGUAGUUGCGGUCCAACUUGAGCUCUAUCAAGCUUUGGCAUUUGCUAAGUGUAUUAGGAAGCGGUCCUGAUAAGUUGUUCAGGGAUACAUACAGGUAUGUAAGCUUUGUCAGAUUGCCAACUUGAGGUGGAAGAGAACCAACCAAAAAAUUGUUUGACAAAUCCAGUGUAUUUGACAGGGUUGAUAGGUUAAAGAUCUCUUUUGGUAAUGGACCUGAAAACUUAUUGUUUGAAAAGUCCGCUUCAGUUAUCUCCUGGAGGUUCCCUAGGCCUGUUGGAAGGCCCCCCUUAAACUUAUUGCUGCCGGCUGAAAGAACUAGCAGCCGUGUCAAGUUCCCGAGGGAGGAUGGCAAGGAUCCUGAAAACUGAUUAUUAUUGAAAUACAAUUGCUGAAGCAAAUUUAGCCUUCCAAUGCUGUCAGGCAAGACAUCAGUAAAUUGGUUGUGAGGGAAGUCCAACACAUUUAGUCCGACAAGAUUGCUUAUGCCAAAUGGUAAUUUGCCAGAAAUUUCAUUAAAUCCAAAAAUAAACUGUUGGAGAUGUGCUGAUAGGUUGCCAACUGAGCUUGGCAGCACGCCACCUAGCGCGUUGGCCUGGAUGCAAAGGUUCCUGAGGCGUGUGCAGUUUGUGAGGAAUGUCAUAAACUCCCAGUCCUGAGCAGUGGCUGCCAUUAGCUGAUUACUCUCAAAAUUGAGGACUUCUGGGCAGAGCAUUCCAAUCUCAGGAGGCACUGUUCCGGUGAUGUCUAGAAACCUUAUCUGAGUUGCAUUGACGAGAGAAGCUGUUCAACCCGCCGAGGAACAGGCCCAUGAGGCGCGGGACGUGAUCCCCCAAGUCAGAGGGCAGUUUACCACCCAGCAAGGCAUCCACAUCGGGCUUAUCGUCGAGUGCUGUUGCUGAUGCCGAUUGGAAUGCGUAGGGCAGCAGAAGCAGUAGAAGAUGAGGCCACAUCGCCGCUGACACUGAGAAUGGUAGAAUAAAUGUAAGCUUGAGGUCAUUCAACAUAUCGUAUAGUGGAACUUUGUGCUCCUACAUACUACGUACAUUAUAUGCUUAUUAAUCUGCCUAAUUUACUGCAGAGCAGAUAAAUCAUGUAGGAGUAGAUGAUUUAUUUUCACUUCGAAAUCAUAAGCUGCACUAGCCGAUUGUUUGGUCAAGGAAUAAGCCAAACUUGGUCCAUUGGAGCAAGUUCUUUUUUUUAUUUUUUUUCUGAAAAAGAGGAUAAACAUCAUGCCUCUCUGGAUUGUAGCGAGUUCCUUAUCCGAAGCAACAGUGACCUAAAACGUCUUAAGAACGUUUACAGAGGGAGCAUUUUCAGCUCAGCUCCUCCAAUGGAGGAUAAGAGUCCGGCCCAGGGGCCGGGGCCAGGGAGAAUGAAUCACAUCACGGACCCGGUAGGGAAAAGAGCCAUGCUUACAGAGAUGGAUGUAGGGGCCGGCCGGGAGGAGGACGUACGUGCGCGCAGCCUCGAGCGAGUGAGGGGGCUAGCGGGGUAGGCGGAGGAGAGGAAGGGCCGGCCUGCCGGCGGCGUCGGAGGGGCUCGGAAUCAGCUCGCCGGGGAAGGAGGCAUCAGACCAGAUCACAAGGUGUGCGCUCGGCGGAGUCAUGCCGUAUAUGUCGUCAGAGAUAGUGGUAGGGACGGUAGUAACUCAGGGGCAUCUGUCGGCGGGUUAGUAUGAAAACGAAAUCCAUAAACAUGAGGCGCGUGGCCCGGCUGCCGCGUGCGCGUGCGUGGUGCCCCCCUCCGGCCCUACACGGCUGCCACCCAGUAGCACACUAUUUGCCUUUAAAAAAAAAACAACUUCAAACCCGUAGCGUUCCUAGAUACUCGUCCGCCAGGUAUACCUGGCCAUGGAUACCCAGCCCGACCCGGUCCGGAAAAGCCCGACCCGACCCGGCUUGGAAAAGCUCGACCCAACCUAGCCCUGUCUUGCCCAUGGGCCGGGCCUGGGCCUAGGUUUUCAGCUCGAAGGUUAGGUCGGGCCGGGCCUGGGCCUGCCAUAUUUGCGAUUUACUAAGGAGGCCUGGGCCUAGGUUUUGAGCUCGAAGGUUAGGUCGGGCCGGGCCUGGGCCUGCCAUAUUUGCGAUUUACUAAGGAGGCCUGGUGUAACGCCCCGGAUUCGAUGCGCCGGGUGUCUUCCAGUUAUUCGUCGUUGUUGUCAGGUCAUUUGCUUGCGUGUUGCUUUUUGCCAUGUCAUCAUCUGCAUUGCAUCCUCAUAUUUUCAAAACUUGCAUCCGUUCGGGUCCCCGGUUCUCCCCGUUGUCCGUUCUGAGCCCAACCACACUCUCCCUCGCGCCCGUUGCACCUCUCAGAUCUUGUUUCGUGAGCGGGAGAAAAACGUUCUCGAAAUGGGUCGGUAUUUGCCGAGUGGCCUUGGUAUAGCACCGGUAGACCGCCUGUCAAAUUUCGUUUCAUUUGGAGGUUGUCUGAUGCCCCAACGGUUAUCCGCGUAGACCGAAAGCCCCUUUUGUCUUGCAGCCCAACACCCCUCCAAAUCAGCCUACUAGCCCAUCUAAACCCCCUGCAUUCUCUCCGCCGUUUGAUCACAAUCGUGUGGGCGAAAACCGCACCUCAUUUGGACUCUCCUAGCUCCCUCUACCUAUAAAUAUGUGUCCCUCCCCGAAAAUUCGCGGAUGAACCCUAGCCCUCUCCCUCCUCGCGCCGCCGGACAUGUCCGCGCCGUCGCCGGACGCGUCCACCCCCGCCAGCCACAUCGCCCGGCCAAUCCCGGGGCGACACGUCAUCGCCGCCGUCGCCUGCAGCCAACCAGCGCCCUCCACGUCGCCCCCCCUCUCUCCUCCGCCGCCAGGGCCCGCGGGGCCCAUAUCCGGCCCGCGGGGCUCGAGCCGCCGCCGCCGCCCGUGGUCGCCCGCGCCCGGCGCCUGGNNNNNNNNNNNNNNNNNNNNNNNNNNNNNNNNNNNNNNNNNNNNNNNNNNNNNNNNNNNNNNNNNNNNNNNNNNNNNNNNNNNNNNNNNNNNNNNNNNNNNNNNNNNNNNNNNNNNNNNNNNNNNNNNNNNNNNNNNNNNNNNNNNNNNNNNNNNNNNNNNNNNNNNNNNNNNNNNNNNNNNNNNNNNNNNNNNNNNNNNNNNNNNNNNNNNNNNNNNNNNNNNNNNNNNNNNNNNNNNNNNNNNNNNNNNNNNNNNNNNNNNNNNNNNNNNNNNNNNNNNNNNNNNNNNNNNNNNNNNNNNNNNNNNNNNNNNNNNNNNNNNNNNNNNNNNNNNNNNNNNNNNNNNNNNNNNNNNNNNNNNNNNNNNNNNNNNNNNNNNNNNNNNNNNNNNNNNNNNNNNNNNNNNNNNNNNNNNNNNNNNNNNNNNNNNNNNNNNNNNNNNCCGCCUUGCUCCUCCGCCCUCCUCGCCGUUCGCCUCCGCCGCCGCACCUCUCCACCGGCGCCCCCCGCGCCGCCUCGCCCCGUCCACGCCGUCCCCGACCUCCGCCGUUGCCGGAGUCGCCUCGUCCCGGAUCCGGUGAGGCGGGAUCAGAUCCACCAGUGCACCGAAUCAAACACGCCUCCCCCCGCCUGGAUCUCCCCGUCCCGCUUCGCCCCGUACAGAUUUUCGGAGUGGUAUAUUUCUGCUAAGUCCCUGGAAUUCAGCAUCAUGUGCACAUGUUUGCCAUGCCAUAUCUCCAUGACUGUAGCUCCGUUUUGUGCGUGUAAUAUGUUGCAAUGUUCAUCAUGAUGUGAUCUUCAUUUUGUUCCAUUGUGCCAUGCUUGUUUGAGUCCAUCUUGAUGCCCUUAUCAUCGUUGCAAGAGUGCCAUAUGAUGUUAACUGCUGUCUGUUAUCAGAACUUGAUGAUUUGUCUUUUUCAUGCCAUUUUGUGUGUGCAUCCUAUGAGCAUGAGCUCUACAUGUGUUUUGAUAUACAUCAUGCCAUCUUUACAGUGGUGCUUAUCCUGUAUUUUUUUGGUCUAUUUGGUGACUAGCACAAGCAUGCAAAAUAGGCUCCGUGAUAUUGCUGAUUUCUGUGACAUUGUUUUCUGCCAAGUCUGAGUCUGUUACAUUGUGAUGCCAUGUAAACCUGCUGCUAUCAUGAGUUCUACGCAUAAUCUGGAGAUGUUCACUAAGGAUAUUUUGUUAUAAAUGUUAUGCUCUACCCAUCCAUGCCUUUUGUUGCAUUUAUAUCAGGCUGUAGCUUGUUGUAAUCUUGCUCUCAAAUUGAUAAAUAAUGUUGCUGUCAGUCUGUUAACAUUUAGUUCAGUUUUGCCAUGUGUUUUGCUAGUGAUCCAUGCACCCUAUGGUUAUUCUAUUGCCAUGCUUAGCUUCAUAUUUAUUCCAUCUUACUUUUGGUUACCUUGUUAUGCCAUGUAUUGCUUUGUGGUGAGUGGUACAAGCUCACCAACAUGUCUACUUAUCAUUGUUUUUGCCAUGCACUGUUAUUUUCACUGUCUGAAUCUGUUUAUGAAACUUGCUAUGUUUACAUGGGUGCCAUCAUAUCUUCUGUGCCUUUUUGGCUCAUGUUCAGUAAGGGACAUUUGUUAUAUGCUUUGAGUAGAAUCACGCCAUGCCUUUGUUUUCUAUGAUCUGUUCCUGUAGCAUGUUGUUUGAUAGCUCUUUGCAACCUGAUGUUAUUUCUGCCAUGUCCAGUAAUUUCUGCUAAGUCUGUGAACUGUUAUUAUUUGUAAUAUGGCCAUGUCCUUUUGAGCAUGUUGUAGUGGUUUCUGGAGAUAGCUCAGUGUUCAUGUUUUGUCAUGAUUUACCUGUAUUUCAUGCCCAUGCCUUUUGUUAUCAUGUUGGAGUGCUGUAGCAUAUUUCCAUGGUGCUUGCAAGAUGCCUAGUUGCUGUUUUGGACAGAUUGUUGCUAUAUCUUGUUUGGAGUGUAUAUGUUGCACCGUUGCUCCGUUUUGAGCAUGCUCUAUAUGAAACUUGCUUAGUAUUGCAUGUAGAUUCAUGUUAUCAUGUUGCAUCCAUGCCUUGAGUGUGUUUGCUUGAUGUUUGAAUGCAUUUUGCAUCAAUGCCAUGCUUAACUUGUUUUGCUCAUAUCUUCUAGGCAGUAGCUCCGAAUUAAAUGAACUUUAUAUGAAACUUGACUAGAAUUUCGUGUAGAUCAUCUUGGUGCAUCUUAACUUGAUGUUUAACAAUUUGAACAUAAGAUUUAUUCAGAUCUGGACCAAUUUUGAAAUUUGCAUAUGAGGACUUACCGGAUUUGUUAUAUGUUGUUUCCGGCCUCAUUUAAACCUGCUUUGAUGUGUUGCUCUUGUAUGCCUCAUCUCUUGCCAUGAGUAGCUUCAUGUAGCCUUGUCAUGCAUCAUACUUGGUUGAGCAUCAUGCCUUGUUCAUGUGUGGUGUGUUUACCAUGUGUGAUUCUUCUCGAUAGUUCCCGUUUCGUUGCGAUCGUGAGGAUUCGUUCGUCUACGCUUGGUUCGUCUUCGUGGCUUCAUCUUCUUCAUGUACUCGUUCUUCUUCCUAGCGGGAUUUCAGGCAAGAUGACCGUCACCUUGGAUCUCACUACUAUCAUCGCUAUGCUAGUUGCUUCGUUCUAUCGCUAUGCUGCGUUACCUACCACUUGCUUAUCAAGCCUUCCAAAUUGCCAUGUCAGCCUCUAACCUUUUCACCCUACCUAGCAAACCGUUGUUUGGCUAUGUUACCGCUUUGCUCAGCCCCUCUUAUAGCGUGGCUAGUUGCAUGUGAAGAUGAAGAUUGCUCCAUGUCGGAUUAUGUUUAUGUUGGGAUAUCACAAUAUCUCUUAUAUUAUUAAUGCAUCUAUAUACUUGGUAAAGGGUGGAAGGCUCGGCCUUAUGCCUGGUGUUUUGUUCCACUCUUGCCGCCCUAGUUUUCCGUCAUACCGGUGUUAUGUUCCUUGAUUUUGCGUCCCUUACGCGGUUGGGUGAUUUAUGAGACCCCCUUGACAGUUCGCUUUGAGUAAAACUCUUCCAGCAAGGCCCAACCUUAGUUUUACAUUUGCCUCACCUAGCCUUUUUCCCUUGGGAGUCGCGCAUCCCGAGGGUCAUCUUUAUUUUACCCCCCGGGCCAGUGCUUCUCUAAGUGCUGGUCUGAACCGAGUAGACUGCGGGGCCACCUCGGGGAAACUUGAGGGCUGGUUUUACUCGUAGGAUGUCUCAUCCGGUGUUGCCCUGAGAACGAGAUAUGUGCAGCUCCUAUCGGGAUUGUCGGCGCAUCGGGCGGCUUUGCUGGUCUUGUUUUACCAUUGUCGAAAUGUCUUGUAAACCGGGAUUCCGAGACUGAUCGGGUCUUCCCGGGAGAAGGAAUAUCCUUCGUUGACCGUGAGAGCUUAUAAUGGGCUAAGUUGGGACACUCCUGCAAGGUAUUAUCUUUCGAAAGCCGUGCCCGCGGUUAUGUGGCAGAUGGGAAUUUGUUAAUGUCCGAUUGUAGAGAACUUGACACUUGACCUUAAUUAAAACGCAUCAACCGCGUGUGUAGCCGUGACAGUCUCUUCUCGGCGGAGUCCGGGAAAUGAACAUGGUUUCUGGGUUAUGUUUGACGUAAGUAGGAGUUCAGGAUCACUUCUUGAUCAUUAAUAGUUGACGACCGUUCCGUUGCUUCUCUUCUCGCUCUUAUUUGCGUAUGUUAGCCACCAUAUCAUGCUUAGUCGCUGCUGCAACCUCACCACUUUACCCCUUCCUUACCCAUUAAGCUUUGCUAGUCUUGAUACCCAUGGUAAUGGGAUUGCUGAGUCCUCGUGGCUCACAGAUUACUACAACACCAGUUGCAGGUACAGGUUUUGCGAUGAUCAUGACGCGAGAGCGAUGUUACUUGUUUUGGAGUUCUUCUGCUUCUUCUUCGAUCAGGGGAUAGGUUCCAGGUCGGUAGCCUGGGCUAGCAGGGUGGAUGUCGUUUGAGCUUCUGUUUGUGUUUUCAUCCGUAGUCGGAUGUUGAUCUUAUGUAUGAUGUAUUGUUGUAUUCUUGUGGCAUUGUAUGCCUUGUAUGUAUCCCCUUAUAUUAUGUAAUAUUGAUGUAAUGAUAUCCACCUUGCAAAAGCGUUUCAAUAUGCGGGUCUAUCCUUGGUGGGACCUUCGAGUUCCUCUCGGAUAGGGUCGCAUAUUGGGCGUGACACCUGGCCCGAGGCCCGACGACCUUUUUGUUGAUGGGGCCAGUCUUGGGCCUGGAUUCUAGGCUCGGGCCUAGGUUUUCUCAUCGGGCUUUGUUAGGCCAGGCUCGAGGCCCGUCCCGGCUGGAUGGCCAGGUAUGCCGCCAGGUGAUAAUCGGAUGCCGCCCAAAAUAGCGGUUCGUUAGAGCUUGAGUGCCUUGGCCAUGGAGCGCCGGCGGCCGCAUGAGUUGUUGUACCCCGUUGACCCAACACCUCAAGCAGUUGCCUCUACUCCAGCACCACGGCGACGAGCGCUCACACCGGGCACUCCUCUGGCGAUUUCUGCAACCAGAGCCGUGUUUCUGAAACGUGGGUCAUGUUGCAAUUCUUGGCCUCUCAAGCUCUAACGCCGGGCGCUCCUACGUCACUUUCUGCAAUCGGGGAUAUGUUUAUGAAACAAGAUCCCUGUUGCAAAAGAAAAGAUCUUCACCAUCGAACCACUUUUUUUUCUUCUGAAACAAGACCCUGUUGCUGAAAAAAAAACUUCACCACUGAACCUUUUUUUUCUCCUAAAACAAGACCCUUGUUAAAAGGACUUGUGGCCAACGUGAGCGUUUGAUCAGGAUUGAUCCGACGGCUACGCAGGCGGCGAGUGCUGCGCGUGCAUCAGCCGGCUGAAGGGUACCUUUUCCAUAUAUAAAUGACCUUCGAAGGACUAAAUUCACCCAGUAACCUUAAAAAAAACUUAUUUGGGGAUCUGACCCCCUCAUUGUUGCCAAACAAUUAAGCGUGUAAACUACAAGCGAAGGCGCCUUACAUGAAGACGCUUUUGACUGUGGCCGACGACUAUUCACGAGUGUGGCAUCGUUCCCUUCUCUCCCGCCUUUCCGUAGAGCAUAGUCAACUUGAAGGACCUUAAGCAAAUAACAUAACAUACUCUCUCUCAGUUGUGCAGGCAAUCUGCUCCACUCUACUCUCACAUUUAAGAUAUACGUAUAUCUCAGAGACAAUUACCAAGACAACAUUCUCAACCCUAGCCAUUUCAACUAAGCUAAAUAAUGGAAAUAUACAUCUACGUACUGGUAACUCAUCUGCACAUUGCAGCCAACGAAUCUCUUUCCAGUAUCAACUCCUUCAAAAGCCAGACAUUUCUUCGGCCUUUGCUUCUAUAGGAUGUAAUUCGGUACAUCAUCCACAACACAUGGUCACCAACGUCCUUCCACGACGACAUGGUCACCAACGAUGAGAAAGGCACCGGCAUGGUCGAGUAAAGAGAGGAGAACGAGCUGGAGAGUGAGGGAGAGGAGUUCUAGAGCCAAAGAUCGUAGUUCUCGAACGAGCACUCGAAAAGAUUCUGGAGGAUCCUCAUGAUUAGGUAUUCUUUUUCCCUGGAUCGUAGCUGGUCAGCCGUCUUGAGUCGUUUGACCCGGUCGGAACGUCAGACUCUAACGUCCGCGAGCACGGGCGCCGUCUGUCGGCUGCCGACGUGGCCCUGAAGGGUGGGCCCGUCUUGUCGUGAAGAAAAGGGAUCUGGCAUCCUCCCCUCCCCGGACUGGACCGGCGGCUAUGGAGUGGCAUCUUGGCGUGAUGGGAGCGGAGCAUCUCACCCUCGCCCUCACACCACCCGUUCACAAAGCCAACGUUUCUAAGCUUUUUGUCCACUGCCAGAGGCCUUUGCCCCACGCCCAUCUCUCCCUUUUCUUGUGUUCUAUCCUUGUUGUAUCCUUCUAUAUAUGCAUUGCAAUCACACUGCACGGCACACACACAUGUCCCUCCUGGAUAACCCCGCGCCGUUCUUGGCUCAUUCCUUAGCUGACAACCUUACCCCUCCUUUGCUUUAUCAUCAUCAUCAUCGUCAUUGUCAACAACCCAUCAUCAUCCUUAACACUCGGCGUUGGGAGGGAUUGGAGGAGUGGUGUUCAUUGCGGAUCGAGGAACGUAUACAUUGCCGCAGCCAGCAUGCAGCUACACAUCUUGCCGCCGGCGUGGGUGCCAUCGGGCUACGGCCACGCGUGCUCUCGUCGUCAAAGGUACUCGAUCGAUGUCGCUUUCUAUCGUGCUUUUCGCGCGCGCGGCGCUGGUUUCCCUGUCGUACGAUGUUUGGUGUGUAACGCGAUUACUUGUGUGGAUGCACCAUAUGUGAUCAGUCAACGAAUCAGGAGUUGAUAGGAUCCGGAUUUUCGGAACACACAACACAUUAAUUAGUAGGUGAGACAAGAACAAAUGAUCUGUCAACGUCUCUAGGCCCUUUUUACAAAACGACACGACAUGCCAUUUGUCGCCAAGAGGAGUCGCAGUGAUACUGAUAGAGAAAAGGGUAUUACUAGAGAGAAGGCUAGGCUUAAGAUUUUUCCUUUUGGAGCACACAACACGUUAACUAGUAGGCGAGACAACGGUUCGUCAACGACUAUUUUUUUGGCAUCAAGAAGAGAAGGAACCCGAACCUAUAUGAAGUUCACUUUAGAACAAUGAUGUAGCUUUCUUACCAGAUCCCAAAGCAUCAACUAUACAAAAGAAUGCUUCUGCAGUUUAAAGUCAUGUCUGAUGAUAGAAAGAUUCUCGACCUACUAUUGUUCUCGUUACCGUCAGUGUCACUGCCAUCGUUCUUUCAUCAGCUAAUAAAAUCCUAGGUGAACUUAACCCAAUCUCAGUCUGUAUAGCUUGAAUUUAAUUUACAAUCAUGUAAACUGGACCUGCAGCUGAAAUUUGGUAACAUGUUAAUGCACAUGGAGGCAUUAUUAUUCUAGUUAAUUCAAAAUGAAUGUGAUGUCUUACGCUGGAUACAUUUAAUCAUUCGUGUAUUUCGACGUAACUGCAGGGUUGCAAACGAACCUUGUCAGAAACGAUAUUCAGAUUCUAGAACGGACUGAGGAACCAUGUGAACUCGACGACUACUGUGUGAUUCCCGGGACAGAGUUCGAGCAUGCACUGGUCGACCAAGUGAGGAUGAUGCUGGGGUCGAUGAGUGACGGCGAGAUCAACGUCUCGGCAUACGACACCGCCUGGGUCGCUCUGGUGCCGAGUCUUGAUGACAGUGACAGCCCCCAGUUUCCCACCACCCUCCGGUGGAUUCUUGACAACCAGCUCCCAGACGGCUCCUGGGGAGACGCUGCCCUGUUCUCCGCCUAUGACCGGGUCAUUAACACCCUUGCCUGUGUCGUGGUUCCAACAAAGUGGUCUCUUGGCGCUCAUAAAUGCAGGAGAGGUAUUGCAAAUCUACAAACUGAUACACACCACUGUUCUGCUAAAGUACCAAAUGAAGCAAGGUCUUUCAACUAAAUGUAUGCAUGAUGCAUCCUGGUUUUCUUUUCAGGGCUCUCUUUUCUGGAGGAGAACAUGUGGAGGCUAGCGGAGGAAGACCUGGAGUCGAUGCCCAUUGGCUUCGAGAUUGCGUUCCCUUCUCUCAUGGAGGUGGCCAAGAGCUUGGGCAUUGGGUUCCCGUAUGACCACCAUGCUCUGCAGCGCAUAUAUGCCAACAGAGAAGUGAAGCUCAAGAGGUACCCCAUAUAUCCCCUUUCCUGCCAGAGAUGCAGAUUACUUCACAGUUUUCCCAGGUAAUUAUUAAUUACUUCCGUAGGAUUCCGAUGGAGAUGAUGCACAGGAUUCCAACGUCGAUCCUGCAUUCCCUUGAAGGGAUGCCCGGGGUGGACUGGCAGAAAAUCCUCAGGCUCCAGUCUAGUGAUGGGUCCUUCCUCUAUUCUCCUUCGGCUACAGCCUGUGCUCUCAUGCAAACCGGUGACGCGAAAUGCUUCGCAUACAUCGACAGGAUCGUCAAGAAAUUCAACGGAGGAGGUAAGAGAUCCAUGACCAUUAACUGCACUGAUAUUGGAUGGGAUUGAGUUCUUUUUUUGGGUAAUUCCUGAUCCCGUGUGCAUUGUUCAUCUUGAUUGGCGCAUUUCAGUUCCCAAUGUUUAUCCUGUCGAUCUCUUUGAGCGCAUCUGGGCCGUCGAUCGGUUGGAGCGUCUUGGAAUCUCGCGCUAUUUCAAGCAAGAAAUCAAACAGUGCCUGGACUAUGUUCAUAGGUUUAAUUUCUCCUUCAUAACUGUGUGUUGUUAACAAUAACAUGGUAAUCUUAAACUUUUGGUCGCUUCAUGUGGAAAGUUUCUUCUAACCUCUAUACUCUCUCUUUAGGCACUGGACUGAUGAGGGGAUUGGCUGGGCGAGGAACUCCACUGUAAUAGACGUGGAUGACACAUCUAUGGCAUUCCGGCUGCUGCGGCUACAUGGAUACGAUGUCUCCCCGAGUAUGACCUCCUUUUCCCUGCAAACUCAAAUAUUGUAUAGUGCUGUACAUACUCUGCAGAGCAAUAAUAAUUAUUUCAUGUCACAAACAAAACUGACAUUUUGAUUCAUUCACAGGUGUAUUUGAGAAGUUUGAGAAGGACGGGGAGUUCUUCUGUUUUGCGGGGCAAUCAACGCAAGCAGUCACUGGGAUGUACAACCUGAACAGGGCCUCUCAGCUAAGAUUCCCUGGAGAGGAUGUGUUGCAGCGUGCAGGGAGAUUAUCAUAUGAGUUCCUUAGAGAAAGGGAAGCGCAGGGCAUGAUUCGAGACAAAUGGAUCAUUGCUAAGGAUCUACCAGGCGAGGUAAACACGUCCAUCCUGCCAAUCAAUCGGCUUAGAUGGACUAGGAAGUAAACAUAACUCUCACAAUCUCUGGCUUGAUUGCUGACGACACUUUAGAGUUAAUUUUUUUUGAAACCCCUAAAGAAUUAUACUCCAUAUACAAUAUGACUAUUUUAAACACUCUUGUUAGCAUAUUAAAAAAAAUUAUUAUCUUAUUUUUGUGAAACAAAAUAACCUUAUCUGGAUACGAACAAGAAUAUAAAUACCUUUAUUUAUGAUUAUAGGUAAAAUAUACACUGGACUUCCCAUGGUAUGCAAGCUUACCGCGUGUAGAAGCAAGAGUCUACCUAGAUCAAUAUGGUGGUGAUAAUGAUGUCUGGAUUGGAAAGACACUCUACAGGUAAAAAAUGGUCCCAGAGUUGAUAUGCUGAAUGGUUUUGACAGGAUGCCACUUGUGAACAACAACACGUAUCUUGAGUUGGCAAAGCGUGAUUUCAAUCGCUGCCAAGUCCAACAUCAGCUAGAGUGGCAUGGCCUACAAAAGUACUCAUUAAUCUCACGUAACAUCUUGUUAGUUACGUCCUAUUUUUCCUGCAUAACAUGUCUUUCUAUGUAUUUAGGUGGUUUACUGAGAAUGGCCUCGAGACUUUUGAGGUGACUUUAAGAGAUGUUUUGAGAGUUUAUUUUCUAGUCGCCGCUUGCAUUUUCGAGCCAAGCCGUGCCACCGAGCGACUUGCAUGGGCCAAGGUGUCAGUGCUGGCCAACAUUAUUACUGAAUACCUUCAUAGCGAUUUGUUGGGUAAUGAAAUGGUGGAACGGUUUAUGCAUGUCGGUAUCUAUGAAGGAAAUGGUAAUAUAUUAUGGUGAGCACAUUAACUGAGCAUCGCUACUCAAUCUAAACCAUCACACCAACUAAUACUAGUAAUUUGGUAGAUGGUUUCCACAGUGGACAAUAUAUUACUAUAUUAGAUGUGAUACAAACAUAAAAUCCACUAUAUUAGAAAUUAAGACCUUCAAACUUGCAUAUAUAGCUUUAUAUUUUGCUUACGAGGGAUGAUGUAAUCUUUAAACACUACUAUUUAAUCCAUUGCUGUGCCAUUAUGAAAACAUGGACUUCCAUUUAUAAUGUCUUUUCAUUUUUUUAAUAUGGUUCACAUGACACAAUUUGUCCAUCCAGGCGUAAAGGAGAUGCAAAAGAGGACAUUCUUGUGGGGGCACUUGAGCAGCUUAUUGAUUUAUUGGCACAAGAGGCACUACCUGUUGGUGAAGGACCAAUGUACAUCAGCAAUUUGUUACGCUGUGCUGUAAGUUGAACGACCAAUUGCCCCUUUUCUUAGAGUUAUUAAUUGCUAGAAUGUUCUCUUGGUAAACAUUCUAAUAUAUUUCUUUGGGCCUCUAGUGGAUCGAAUGGAUGAUGCAACAGAAAAACAGACAGGAUGACACCUGCAUUUUAGGUGUUGUUCAAGCAGGGUCGUGCAUGGUUCCCGAUAAACAAACAUGUUUGCUUCUAGUCAAAAUUAUUGAGAUUUGUGGUGGACGAAGUGGUGAAGCAUCAUCGAUGAUAAACACCAUGGAUGGUGCUUGGUUUAUUCAACUUGCGUCCUCUAUUUGUGACAACCUUCACCACAAGAUGUUACUUUCUGAGGUAGCUCUUUUACACUCAAAUAAUAUAUAUUUUUGCCAUAUUUUCUAGUGAACUAUGUGAUACUCCCUCUGUUUAGUGAUAUUAACGCUCUUAUAUUUCUUUACCGAGGGAGUACAUGGUUGAUCGUGUUUUUCCCAUUUGAAGAACUGAACACAAUGACAGAUCACUGAAGUAUUCUCACCCUUUCUUGGUUACUUGCGUGCAAUGAAUAACCCACAUGUGUAAACUCAAGUGUGCUCUCAAGAAAGCUCCAAAACAUUAGGGAUCUCAUGCUAGUUUUGGCUUGUAAAUUAGCUUAUAAUAACUUCUUUUAAUUCGGUGCUAGAAUUUAUUUUCUUUUUUCGUAUCUGCUCCAUGCAAGCAAUAUUCCCAUGUUCAUACCAAGUAUGAACCAACACCUUUUCGUUAGAAACAGAGCCACACAUCAGACAUCUAUCAAACUAACUAUGCAAUUUAUUUACAGGACACCAAAAGGAACGAGGCGACAAUGAGCCACAUGGACGAGAAAAUUGAGGCGGGCAUGCAGGAACUCACCCAGAACGUUCUCCAGGCGCAAGGCGAUGGAGCGAGCAGCGAGACGAAGCGGACCUUGUUGAGCGUCGUGAGGAGCUGUUACUACGCCGCUAACUGCCCUCCCCAUGUGUUGGAUGGACAUGUCUCCAAGGUCAUUUUCGAACAUGUGUUUUGAAGGAAAGAAAGAAGAAUUUGUCAUGCAAUGGUAGGAAUGGGUGGAGGUGGGAUCUGUAUGUGCUGUACAUAGAAAAUAAUGCUGCAAGGAGCGCUAGUGGAAGGACAAUUGUCAAGUUGGAUUGAUUGUUAGGUUCAAAUGUGUCGCAGUUCGUGUUUGGUUAUUUCUUGAUCAGAGGAUGCAACCCCGACUGCACAGCGCACUCCAUUUUUGUUUUUGAUGGGAUCGCUCCAACUAAAUGUACAAACUAAUUGCCCGGGUGUUGCAACGGGGCAUACACAUUCUAAUGGAUUAACAUCAAUUAUGUCUAAUAUAUACCUUUAUACCCUCUCAAAAAUUAUAUAUCUUUAUAGAAUAUACCCAUGUACAUUAGGCGGUAUUGUAAAUUCAAUUUACUGCUGAAUAAAAAACUCGAUUAUUAAUCUUGAAGAAAUAAACCCUGUGUAUAGAAGCAAAAGAGGGGAUGACCGACGUACGUGUGUGGGCAGCGGGCCGUUUUCCUCUGGUUUCUUGCGUGCUAACCAUGGUUCUGACCAAGGUUAAGCCUUGUGGCUUGUCACAUCCCUUCAAAAUAACUUAGAUCAUGAUAUGUCUCAUUUGAAAUAUUAGGGGUCUUGGACAACCAAGAAAAAUUCAGUGCCUGUGUGAUACUAUUGCUAAGGCUAACCCAGAUUUUAUUGCUAAGGCUAACCCAGAUUUUAUUGGGUUUCAAGAAACAAAAAAAGAA
rnacentral:lncRNA from 1 species